AAAGGGAGACCUAAUUCAGGUAUAAGACGAAAAAAAAGUAGUCCCUACCAAGAAUCAAUCCCAAAAGGUCGGAACGAGGUAUGAGGCUUUCAAACUAGGUUCUGGGUUCAUAAAAGACCUGAAUCAGGAACAAGGGCUAUUAGCUCAGGUGGUUAGAGCGCACCCUUGAUAAGGGUGAGGUCCCUGGUUCGAGUCCAGGAUGGCCCACCUGCACAGGUGGCAAAAACAAGAGAAGCGAGGAAUCAGCACCUUAUCUUACUGACAUAGUAAGAGAGAAUGCUGGCUCUGAGUAAAGAGUCCAGAGGAACCUUGAAAACUGCAUAGAGCUAGGUGAAAAAGCCAAAAAAGAAGACCGCAAG
rnacentral:tRNA from 1 species